AUACCAAACUGUUGCCUCGGCGGGGUCACGCCCCGGGUGCGUCGCAGCCCCGGAACCAGGCGCCCGCCGGAGGGACCAACCAAACUCUUUCUGUAGUCCCCUCGCGGACGUUAUUUCUUACAGCUCUGAGCAAAAAUUCAAAAUGAAUCAAAACUUUCAACAACGGAUCUCUUGGUUCUGGCAUCGAUGAAGAACGCAGCGAAAUGCGAUAAGUAAUGUGAAUUGCAGAAUUCAGUGAAUCAUCGAAUCUUUGAACGCACAUUGCGCCCGCCAGUAUUCUGGCGGGCAUGCCUGUCCGAGCGUCAUUUCAACCCUCGAAGCCCUCCGGGGGUCCGGCGUUGGGGAUCGGGAACCCCUAAGACGGGAUCCCGGCCCCGAAAUACAGUGGCGGUCUCGCCGCAGCCUCUCUGCGCAUAGAUUGCACAACUCGACCGGGAGCGCGGCCGUCCCGUCCGUAGACAGCCAACUUCUGAAAUGUUGAGUCGGAGAGGUCGAAUACCGCUGAAUUAACAUAUCAGUAAGCGGAGGA
rnacentral:rRNA from 1 species